rnacentral:rRNA from 1 species
GACGAAUGCUGGCUGCGUGCUUAACACAUGCAAGUCGAACGGUGAAGGGGAGCUUGCUCCCCGGAUCAGUGGCGAACGGGUGAGUAACACGUGGGCAACCUGCCCCCCACUCUGGGAUAACUCCGGGAAACCGGGGCUAAUACCGGAUACGACCGGGAGCGACAUCGCUCCUGGUGGAAAGAACUUCGGUGAGGGAUGGGCCCGCGGCCCAUCAGCUAGUUGGUGGGGUAACGGCCCACCAAGGCGACGGCGGGUAGCCGGCCGGAGAGGGCGACCGGCCAAACCGGGACUGAGACACGGCCCAGACUCCUACGGGAGGCAGCAGUGGGGAAUAUUGCGCAAUGGGCGAAAGCCUGACGCAGCGACGCAGCGUGAGGGACGAAGGCCUUCGGGUUGUAAACCUCUUUCAGCGGGGACGAAGCGAAAGUGACGGUACCCGCAGAAGAAGCACCGGCUAACUACGUGCCAGCCGCCGCUGUAA